rnacentral:lncRNA from 1 species
UCCCUCUCUCUCUCUCCAAGACGAAGGCGACGCGAGAUGACAACGGACGAGUGGGUUACGACGGCGUUAGCCGACGAUGCGGUGGUGGCUGAGCUGUUACUCCGGAUGAAGCAGUCAUCGGAUUCGUCCGCGUCGCAGCACUUGAAGCCUCCGCCGGCGUGGGGCCACCGCCAGCCGCGGUCGAAGCCUCAGGCCACCACCUCAAGGAAGGAGCAAGAGUCGAUGAGAUUCAGCCCCACCACACCGCUCUCCUGGAGCUCCGGUGGCGGCGCCAGCGACGGCUCUGACGAGUCCUGCCGGCCUUCAGAUCGGUCCUCCGUCAGC